rnacentral:rRNA from 1 species
UACGGAGGGGGCUAGCGUUGUUCGGAUUCAUUGGGCGUAAAGGGUGCGUAGGCGGCGCGGUAAGUCGGGUGUGAAAUUUCGGAGCUUAACUCCGAAACUGCAUUCGAUACUGCGGUGCUUGAGGACUGGAGAGGAGACUGGAAUUCAUGGUGUAGCAGUGAAAUGCGUAGAGAUCAUGAGGAAGACCAGUGGCGAAGGCGGGUCUCUGGACAGUUCCUGACGCUGAGGCACGAAGGUCAGGGGAGCAAACGGG